rnacentral:rRNA from 1 species
AGUGAACGCUGGCGGUAGGCCUAACACAUGCAAGUCGAACGGCAGCACAGUAAGAGCUUGCUCUUACGGGUGGCGAGUGGCGGACGGGUGAGGAAUACAUCGGAAUCUACUUUUUCGUGGGGGAUAACGUAGGGAAACUUACGCUAAUACCGCAUACGACCUACGGGUGAAAGCAGGGGAUCUUCGGACCUUGCGCGAUUGAAUGAGCCGAUGUCGGAUUAGCUAGUUGGCGGGGUAAAGGCCCACCAAGGCGACGAUCCGUAGCUGGUCAGAGAGGAUGAUCAGCCACACUGGAACUGAGACACGGUCCAGACUCCUACGGGAGGCAGCAGUGGGGAAUAUUGGACAAUGGGCGCAAGCCUGAUCCAGCCAUACCGCGUGGGUGAAGAAGGCCUUCGGGUUGUAAAGCCCUUUUGUUGGGAAAGAAAAGCAGCAGGUUAAUACCCCGCUGUUCUGACGGUACCCAAAGGAUAAGCACCGGCUAACUUCGUG